GGGGCCUUAGCUCAGUUGGUAGAGCGCUUCCAUGGCAUGGAAGAGGUCAGGGGUUCAAUUCCCCUAGGCUCCA
rnacentral:tRNA from 1 species